rnacentral:lncRNA from 1 species
UCCAACUUCCAGCAAAGGAGCCUUAACACUACGAGAACAAGAAACUGAAUUAGCCCGCAACCUGAAAGAGCUUGGAGACUGAUUCCUUCCCAGAGCCUCCAAAAAGAAAUGUAGCUUUCCACACCUUGAUUUCAGCCUUGUGGGAUCCUAAGCAGAGGACCCGGCUGAGCCACACUGUAUCCAGAUCUCUGACUUAAAGGAGUGUGGGUUGGUCAUUGGAAAAAGGAAGAUAGCAUGGGGAGUGUGGAUAGAGCAAAUGCAUCCCCUCUAUUAGAUAAUUCAUGGACAACAUAAAAGCUUCACCUGAGAGCCAAGGCAACACACUUCAAUGGACUGUAACAAGCCAUUUGUGGAGAUGCAAAUGUGGGUCCACAGGUUAUACUUUGAAUAGCACAUUUCUACGUAAUCUGUGCGCCACUAAAAGGAAGACACAAGCCUCCCAGCCUACCAUCAUUAACUCCUUGUGGAACAAAAUGAAAAAAACAUAGAAACAAAUUUUGUGUGUUCAAAUGCUUAAAACCUAUCUCCCUAACAUUACCAAAGAUUAACUUGGCAAUGCAUACUUACCUCUUACUAAUUUUUUAACAAUAUGUCUUAAGUGGACAGGAACAUAAAU